CUACGGGCUCCUGCAGUGAGGAAUAUUGCACAAUGGGGGGAACCCUGAUGCAGCAACGCCGCGUGGAGGAUGACGCAUUUCGGUGUGUAAACUCCUUUUAUAUGUCAAGAAAAUGACGGUAGCAUAUGAAUAAGCACCGGCUAACUCCGUGCCAGCAGCCGCGGUAAUACGGAGGGUGCAAGCGUUACUCGGAAUCACUGGGCGUAAAGGACGCGUAGGCGGGUUGGAAAGUCAGGUGUGAAAUCCUACAGCUUAACUGUAGAACUGCACUUGAAACUUGUAAUCUAGAGUAUGGGAGGGGGAGAUGGAAUUAGUGGUGUAGGGGUAAAAUCCGUAGAUAUCACUAGGAAUACCUAAAGCGAAGGCGAUCUCCUGGAACAUUACUGACGCUAAGGCGUGAAAGCGUGGGGAGCAAACAGGAUUAGAUACCCGAGUAGUC
rnacentral:rRNA from 1 species